rnacentral:rRNA from 1 species
AGAACGAACGCUGGCGGCGUGGAUAAGACAUGCAAGUCGAACGCGACUUAUUUUGUUAGCAAUAACGAAGUAAGUUGAGUGGCGAAAGGGUGCGUAACACGUGGGAAUUUACCAAAAAGUGGGGAAUAGCUCGGCGAAAAGCCGAAUUAAUACCGCAUGUGAUCGAAAGAUCAAAGCCGGGGACCGCAAGGCCUGGCGCUUUUUGAGAAGCCCGCGGCCCAUCAGCUAGUUGGCGGGGUAACGGCCCACCAAGGCGAUGACGGGUAGCUGGUCUGAGAGGACGACCAGCCACACUGGAACUGAGACACGGUCCAGACACCUACGGGUGGCAGCAGUCGAGAAUUUUUCACAAUGGACGAAAGUCUGAUGGAGCGACGCCGCGUGGAGGAUGAAGGUUUUCGGAUUGUAAACUCCUGUCACUGCAGAACAAGGGUGCGCCAGUUAACAGCCGGCGC